rnacentral:rRNA from 1 species
UCGAGGAUCAUUCGCAAUGGGCGAAAGCCUGACGAUGCGACGCUGCGUGGAGGAUGAAGGCCCUCGGGUUGUAAACUCCUGUCAUGAGGGACGAGGAGACCGCCGGUAACACCGGCGGGAUUUGACGGUACCUCAAGAGGAAGCCACGGCUAACUCUGUGCCAGCAGCCGCGGUAAUACAGAGGUGGCGAGCGUUGUUCGGAUUUACUGGGCGUAAAGGGCGCGUAGGCCGCGCGGUAUGUCGGGUGUGAAAUCUCCGGGCCCAACCCGGAAAGUGCGCCCGAAACUGCCGCGCUCGAGUGCGGGAGGGGAGAUCGGAAUGCAGGGUGUAGCGGUGAAAUGCGUUGAUAUCCUGCAGAACACCGGUGGCGAAGGCGGAUCUCUGGAACGCAACUGACGCU